GCUGUCAUGGCUCUCUCUGUCUUUCUCUGUCUCAGUGUGUUUCUACAUCUCUUUUCUCUAUCUUUGUCUCUCUCUGUCUCUGUCCAAAAUUUUCCAAUUCUGAUUAUUUUCAGCUCUCUCCAAUUCUGUUUUGAAGCAUUUCAGAAUCAUUCAACACAAGCACUGUAUAAACAGAAGAAGUGGGUGUUUGGAUCAUUAUGGAGGUGAAAAGAAAAUACGCUUUGAUUUUUACAUUUAGUGGCACAAUUGAAAUAAGCUUUUGAAAAAGCAUCUUCCUCCUUCCCUUUCCCGUCCUUUCAUUGUAAGGGCGACAAUAAAACACAAACACAAAUGUAAAGAA